GAGAGAAUGGCAAGGUCUAUUUGUGCUAGAUUGGGAUAUCUACAAGUCUCUAAUCUUGGUGUAUGUCUGGGAGUGCCCCCUAUUUCAUCAGAGGGUCACUAAUGGGAUUUUUGUUUUUGUUGUGGAAAAGGUGAGGUGAAAACUUAAUAAUUGGGAUGCGAAGCUUCUUGCAAUAGCUGAGAAAGUGAAUUUAGCCUGCUUUGUCCUUGUGUCCAUAUACAAAUAUUUUAUGCAAUCUACGAUGAUUUCGAUUGCUAUUUGUGAUGAGAUUAACAGGAAAUUAAAAAAGUUGUUCGAAAUUAUAUCUGGUGCUCUCAUUAUGAAGAUCUUGAGAAUGUGUUGUGGAGUUGCCCUAUUGCUUGUCGGACCUGGUCGAAAGUUAUCCUGUCAAAGUACACUACAAGCUUUUUUUUUCCUUAUCGUUCAUGGACUGGUUGGUGGCAAACAUUCAAAACGUGCGAAAAUAGACUUUUUGGUAUCAUAAUACAGAGGCUCUGGAAAUCAAGGAUGUUAGUCGCGUUCAAUAAGGAGAAUGCCUGCUCUGAGGAAAUCAUUAAAUCAGUUGGUACUGAGCGAAAGGUAUUAAGGAUGCCUCUGAUAUUUUGGAGCGUGUUGGACUAAACUAAAUAUUGAUGGUGAAAAGAAAGGUGCGGCUGGUUGCACAUCUGUAGGGGGUUUAGCCAGGGAUGAACAUGGUGAAUGGUUGUUGGGAUAUUGCAGAAGCACAGGAGAAAGCAGUGGAGUUCAGGCUGAAUUACGGGCCAUUUAUGAUGAUCUUUCUCCUAUGGAACAAGGGUCUUCGACGCAUUGUAAUUGAAUGCGACAGCUCAGAGGCCUUGUAAGUCAUCAAGGAGUCGGAAUUGCAGAGAUCAAAUGUGGCGUUUGCUAGAAGAAUCAACGAGCCGCUGAAUCGAAGCUGGGAGGUGCGACUGUGCCAUGUGUAUCGUGAAGCAAAUGCUGCGGAGGAUUUAGCUGUUCCGACCAUUUUGCAGCAGGAUUUAUCUGGGACCGCCUCCUUAAGAUGUAAUUUCUUUGUUUAGCUCUCUCUUUUGUAACCAAAAAACUGAAUAUUCCUUUCAAGAAUCCAAUACCCAAUGUCUCUUCCUUGUGUUUUUGCUUCUGAAUGGUGGAGUUUCACUGCACGCAAAGUACAUAUCUCAGGUUAAAGGACAAAAACUAUUAUGAGUUUAAAGGAGAGAAUUUGCUUGACAUGGAGCCAGAGGAAAGGUCUCUUGCUGGACUCUUUAUGAGUUUCUAGUCCCCUCUUGAGAUUGCGGGUGUGAACCAUAUCGACUUUUGGCACAUGGUGCGUAAUGCUCGAAGGGAAAAACUUGGUGAGCCGGAGCUCGGUCCACUUGAGGAAGACAGGAGAUAGCUCGUUAGCCAAAGUUCUUGAGGAGAAAGGCUAUACCGCAAUUUCUGCCGCAUAGCAUACAAUACUCUCUGUCAAUAUUAUCUGUUUGAUUCUAGUCAAAACUCACUUUAGCUCCGUUCUUCAGCCUCUAGUCCACAUUGUUUUACUUUGUUAAUUGGAAAGGAAUUGAUGCUCAAAAAUCUCUGAAGUUAAUCGAUCAUGGUUCCACCAUUAAAGGAGCAUAAAGCCUUGGCCCUAAGGUGCUUGGCUGCUAGCAAUGGUGCCUAAAAGGUUAUUGUUUCUUGUUUAACCUCUUGCCUUGGCAUGUAAAUUUGAGGUCCCCUUUUUUUUCUCCCUCUCUGUCUCGAAAUUAAUUGAUUGAUGUGCAAGUAUACACAAUCGUUAAUAAGUAAUAAAGUAGUGAGCGAGAGUUGUCGGUCUCCACUGAAAUUAUUUAUGCAAAUCAAGUAUUGCGAAA